UACGUAGGGGGCAAGCGUUGUCCGGAUUUAUUGGGCGUAAAGCGCGUGUAGGCGGCCAUACAGGUCCGUUGUGAAAACUCGAGGCUCAACCUCGAGACGUCGAUGGAAACCGUAUGGCUAGAGUCCGGAAGAGGAGAGCGGAAUUCCUGGUGUAGAGGUGAAAUGCGCAGAUAUCAGGAAGAACACCCGUGGCGAAGGCGGCUCUCUGGGACGGUACUGACGCUGAGACGCGAAAGCGUGGGGAGCGAACAGG
rnacentral:rRNA from 1 species